AUUGAACGCUGGCGGCAGGCUUAACACAUGCAAGUCGUACGGUAACAGAGGGAAGCUUGCUUCUCUGCUGACGAGUGGCGGACGGGUGAGUAAUGUCUGGGAAGCUGCCUGCUUGAGGGGGAUAGCGGAGCGAAAGUUCCGAUAAUACCGCGUAAGCCCGAGAGGGGAAAGUGCGGGACCGCAAGGCCGCACGCGAGCAGAUGCGCCCAGAUGGGAUUAGGCAGUUGGGGAGGUAACGGCUCACCAAACCGAUGAUCUCUAGCUGGUUUGAGAGGACAAUCAGCCACAUUGGAAUUGAGAAACGGACCAAACUCCUACGGGAGGCAGCAGUGGGGAAUAUUGCACGAAUGGGGGAAACCCUGAUGCAGCCAUGCCGCGUGUGUGAAGAAGGCCU
rnacentral:rRNA from 1 species